GAUGAACGCUGGCGGCGUGCCUAAUACAUGCAAGUCGAACGCACAGCGAAAGGUGCUUGCACCUUUCAAGUGAGUGGCGAACGGGUGAGUAACACGUGGACAACCUGCCUCAAGGCUGGGGAUAACAUUUGGAAACAGAUGCUAAUACCGAAUAAAACUUAGUGUCGCAUGACACAAAGUUAAAAGGCGCUUCGGCGUCACCUAGAGAUGGAUCCGCGGUGCAUUAGUUAGUUGGUGGGGUAAAGGCCUACCAAGACAAUGAUGCAUAGCCGAGUUGAGAGACUGAUCGGCCACAUUGGGACUGAGACACGGCCCAAACUCCUACGGGAGGCUGCAGUAGGGAAUCUUCCACAAUGGGCGAAAGCCCGAUGGAGCAACGCCGCGUGUGUGAUGAAGGCUUUCGGGUCGUAAAGCACUGUUGUAUGGGAAGAACAGCUAGAAUAGGAAAUGAUUUUAGUUUGACGGUACCAUACCAGAAAGGGACGGCUAAAUACGUG
rnacentral:rRNA from 1 species